UAUCCCUACGGGGCGCAGCAGUAGGGAAUCUUCGGCAAUGGGCGAAAGCCUGACCGAGCAACGCCGCGUGAAUGAAGAAGGCCUUCGGGUUGUAAAAUUCUGUUAUAAGGGAAGAAAGGUGAUAGGAGGAAAUGACUAUCAAUUGACGGUACCUUAUGAGAAAGCCACGGCUAACUACGUGCCAGCAGCCGCGGUAAUACGUAGGUGGCAAGCGUUAUCCGGAAUUAUUGGGCGUAAAGAGCGCGUAGGCGGGAUAGCAAGUCAGAUGUGAAAUCCUAUGGCUUAACCAUAGAACUGCAUUUGAA
rnacentral:rRNA from 1 species